rnacentral:lncRNA from 1 species
GAGACCUAAGAUGGCGGCGUUUGCAUAAUAUGAAAGCGAUGCAGGCGUACCAGAUUGGAGAGGCAGGCAAAGGAUGUAUCUGCUAAGGAAGGUUCGGGAACUCGCCAAUACUUGUGGCCUCUCUAUUCCCUGAAAAACAAUAAUGAAGUUAGGCCAGUGAAUACCCUACAGUGGUUCAAGUGAAAGGAGGAAAAAUCACACAUCUCUCACUUUAAAUCAAAGGUAGAUCACAUCCAAAAAAUAAAAUACCUAGAAUAAACCUACCAAAGGAGGCAAAAGACCUGUAUUCCAAAAACUCUUAAGAAGCUGAUGGAAUAAAUUGAAGAUGACACAAACAGAUGGAAGAAAUACCAUGUUCUUGGAUUGCAAGAAUCAGUAUUGUCAAAGUGACCAUACUGCCCAAGACAAUCUAAAUUUUCAGUGCAAUCCCUAUCAAAAUUAUCAAUGGCAUUUUUCUCAGAAGUGGAACAAAAUUUUUAAAAAUUUUAUGGAAACAUAAAAGACCUUGAAUAGCCAAAACAAUCUUGAGAAAGAAGAACAGAACUGGAGGAAUCGUGCUCCUUGACUUCAGACUAUACUACAAAGCUACAGUAUUCAAAACAGAAUGAUAUUGGGAGGAUGGAACCAGACAUAUUAUAGAUCAAUGGAUAGAAAGCCCAGAAAUAAACCCAUGCCCUUUGGUCAAUUAAUCUACAACAAAGGAGGCAAGAACAUACAAUGGAAAAAAGACAGUCUCUUCAAUAAACCAUGCUGGGAAAAUUGGACAGCUACAUGUGAAAGAAUGGCACAAUGAAUUAAGUAUACAGUGUUGUCACUGCAGCGUCUCAGGUCACUGCUGUGGCGUGGGUUUGAUCCCUGGCCUGGGAACUUCUAUAUGCCAUGGGUGUGGCCAAAAAGACAACCAAAAUCCUCCCAAAUAACCAUGAGAUACCACUUCAUACUGUGCCUAUAAAAUGGAAAAUAACAAAUGUCAGUAAUGAUGUGGAAAAGUUAAAAUUUUUGUUCCUUUCGGAGUUCCUGUCAUGGCUCAGUGGUUAACGAAUCCAACUAGGAACCAUGAGGUUGUGGGUUUGACCCCUGGCCUCGCUCAGUGGGUUAAGGAUCCAGCGUUGCUGUGGCUGUGGUGUAGGCUGGUGGCUACAGCUCCGAUUCGACCCCUAGCCUGGGAACCUCCACAUGCUGCAAGUGUGGCCCUAAAAGCAAAAAAAAAAAAAAAAAAAAAAAAAAAUUGUUCUUUUUAUGGGGGACAUCAAACAGUGAGGCUACUGUGAAGAACAGUAUUGUAGUUCCUAAAAAAUUUAAAUAGAGAAUUUUUGUGACCCCAGUUCCAUACCAUGUAUAGUCCUAAGUUAAAGGAAUAAUGUUCAAGUAAACAUUUUGUAUGGAAAUAUGUACAGCCACAACUAUUUGCCAUAGGCAAAGGGUGAAAUUGUUUCAAAUAUCCAUGAGUAGAUGAAUGGCUAAAGAAAGUGGUAUAUUCAUAAAAUGCAGUAUUAUUCAUCCAUAAAUAGGAAUCAAUUACAGAUACAUAGUAUGUCAUGGAUGUUCAUCUUAAUCAUUGUGCUAAGUGAAAGAAACCAGACACAUAAGGGCCUUAUUCUAUUUACAUGGAAUAUGAAGAAGAGGUAAAUCGGUAGGGGCAAAGCAGAUUAGUGGUUGUCAGUGACUAGAGAGGGUACAGGGAAUGGAGAAUGGAGAAUUUUGACCAUAGUGAUGAUUGCACAAAGGCCCCUGAAUUGUAUUAAAAUGGUGAGUUUCAUGUAUGUGAAUUUUACCUCAUUUUUAAAAAUAAAGGAAUUAAUCAUUUAAAAAAAAUAGGUGGUGGGCAAGAUAUAGCUCCCUGGGUAUAGUUUAUUGACUCUUGGUAUUGUUUAUUCAUGGCUAUUUGCAUUGCAACAUAUUUAUUACAAAUAUUUUUUAAUGAGACAGUCUAAAGACAUAUUUAGAAUGUAGUAGGAUAUAAGUUGUCACAAAAUGCUGGCUUUCAAAAUUUAUAUACAAAUCAUUAGAAUCAAUAUGCUGUUAGCCCUGUAGAGGAUUGGCAAAGACUUGAGCAUGUCCCACAUAAACCACAGUGGUAGGUCCUCAAGUUCAUUUGGCAACAGAGAAACAGCAAAAAUUAUAAGCAGUCCUAAUGUAUACUUUCUAGAAUGGGUCCAAUAAAAUGGAUUGAGGAUUCUAAAUAUUGGUGAGUAUUUUACUAACCAGUAUCUUUCACACAGGGAUGGUGUGAGUAUAAUUGGGGAUAGUCACAUUGGAAAACUUUUCAUGAUACGCCAUAAUACUGAACAUGCUCAUAUUUUCUGACUUAGAAAUUUCACUACAGUGUAUAUGCUUAUAAAGAUUGAUGUGUAUAUGUUCCCUAAAGACAUGUUAAUGUCUGUAGCAUUAUUAUUCUUAAUGGCUCUAAGCUGGAAAACAUGCAAAUGACUGUCAACAGAAUAGACACAUCAAUGGUAGUGGUGUUUCCUUUUUGUGGAUUACUACACAUUAUUGAAAUAGAACGAACUGCAACUACAUGUUAUGCAGCUAUCUCCUAUUAUUUUCAGCAAAGGAGCAGAAUGUAUUAACCAAAAGUUGGAAUAGUGGUUCAUCUGGGUAAAAAUGUAAUUAAUUAUAGCAGUGCACAUGUCACUUUAAUGAUGCUAAUAAUUUUUUCAAGUUUGUUAAAUUAUUCUUUGUGUACGUAUAUAAUUUAUACAGUCUUCUGUGUAUCAUAUUUUAUAAUAUAAUAAAAAUAAAAUUUCACUCAAAUACCAAUUUUUGAGGAUCCUUCUCAGGAUGUAUGGGUAUACCUUGGAGAUAUGUGGGUUCAGUUCCAGACAACCACAGUAAAGUAAAUAUCACAAUAAUUUGAGUUACAUGAGUUUUGUUGAUUUACUAGUGCACAUAAAAGUCAAGUUUGCACUGUACUGUAGUUUCUUCUGUACAAUAGCAUCAUGUCUAAAAAAAAAGUACAUACCUUAAUUUAAAAAUUUUUGGAGUUCCUGUCGUGGUUCAGUGGAAAUGAAUCCAACUAGGAACCAUGAGGUUGUGGGUUCGAUCCCUGGCCUCCACUCAGCUGGUUAAGGAUCUGGUGUUGCUGUGAACUGUGGUGUAGGUCGCAGACGUGACUCGGAUCUGGUGUUGCUGUGGCUGGCAUAGGCCAGCAGCUACUGCUCCAAUUAGACCCCUAGCCUGGGAACCUCCAUAUGCCGUGGGUGCGGCCCUAAAAAUGACAGAAAUGAAAAUUCAUUGCUGAAAAAUGCUAAGCAUCAUCUGAGCCUUUAUCAAGUUAGUCGUGACAUCAAAAAUUACUGAUCAUCCUAAGAAAUAUAAUUGCAAAAAAGUUUUAAGUAUAUACUUCUGAAGUUUCUCCUAAUGGCAUACAGCAAAUGAUGAAAUACUUAAGAGUUUUCUUGAAACUGAAGAGCAAGAUUGUGUGACAUUCAAACUACCACUCACUCAUUCUUCCCAUUUCAACUCAUUAGGAUGACUCUACUCUAAGUAUUGGAGCCAAAAAUAAAAAUAUCUCUGUCUUUUAGCUAGCAGUUCAGGUCUGAAGUCCAGAAAGGGAUGAUGCCAAAAUUUCUUAUUCUCCAGCUCAGUUUUGUAGAUCCUCAGUUCCACACAAUUGCAGCUAACAGGAUGAAGAUUUAUUCCUCUCCUCCCCACUCAGACACAUUGAAUAGGAGCUCUUCCUCAGGUUUAGUAUCCUUAGAAUACUGAACCCCCUGUCUUCACCGUAGGUCAUUUGUACCUUUGAAGUUCCAUAUUAGGUGGGGCAAAUUGAGAACACAGCAAUCCCCCAGUUUAAUACUUAAAAAUCUGUAUUGUCACUUUGAGGACAGGUUGUCACUAUCUCUCUAGCUCUUUGGAUCUGGGUGACAGAUUCUGUUAAGUAGGACAGGCAGAACAUAAAAAUAGAGAGCCCUGAAGCCCUCCCUAAUGCACCUACUUUUAUUUUAUUUUAUUUUACUUUAUUAUUUUACUUUUAUAUUUUUAUAACUGCACCUGAGGCACAUAAAAGUUCCUGGGCUAGGAGUUGAAUUGAAGCUAUAGCUGCAGGCCUAUGCCACAGUCACAGCAAUGUUGGAUAUGAGCCACAUCUGCAACCUCUGCCACAGCUUGCGGCAGUGCUGGAUCCUUAACCCACUGAGCAAGGCCGGGGAAUUGAACCUGCAUCCUUAUGGACACUAUGUUGGGUUCCUAACCCACAAUGGGAACUCCCUAAACUACCGUUAUUUUAAAGAGUAUGGUGACAUUGAAGCCUAUGGGCAAACCCCGAAAUGGUAGAUAUUUCAGUAGUAAGUAAUUAGAUAGCUGGUACUUCAUGAGCGCAACUUGCCUAACUGUAGGCUAGCUAAUUUUCCACAGAGAACCAUGAAAAGCAUUGAGAGCAUUCCUUUUGUCUGAACAAAUACUGGCAUCACUCACUACCACUGCAGUGGGCCUGAAUUUAACUGUAUUAGGAUAUUUAGUAAUAUAUGUUAUAAAUCAUAGAAAAAUGAACUUGUAUUUAGUGUAGCCAACAGCUCAAUUUGUUCAAGACUAGAGACCACUUGACUCCUUGUAUAUUUGUCAUUCCAGGAUAACUGGACAUUUCCAGGGCUAAACCCUCUGAGAAGCAAUAUCAUAAGCUUAACAUUGUGUGAGAAAUAGACUUCAGUAAGAGUCCAAUGAAUCACUAAACAUUAAAAAUUUAACUGAUAACUACCAUCCCUGGAGUUGUGCUUAACUAGCCAAUAUUGCUACCAUCAUUUAUGUCUUUUUUCCAACUGCAAAAAAAAUUGAGACAUGCAAAAAAAAAAAAAA